rnacentral:rRNA from 1 species
GCCAGGGUAUUACGAGCUUAAGCUUAAAACCCAAAGGACUUGACGGUGUCCCACCCACCUAGAGGAGCCUGUUCUAUAAUCGAUACCCCCCGCUACACCUCACCAUUCCUAGCCUCUCAGCCUGUAUACCUCCGUCGUAAGCUUACCAUGUGAACGCUCUCAGUAAGCCUAAAGGUCCCUCACCCACACGUCAGGUCAAGGUGCAGCUCAUGAAAUGGGAAGCAAUGGGCUACAAUUUCUAACUUAGAACAUACGAAAGACUGCAUGAAACUCAGUCAUGAAGGCGGAUUUAGUAGUAAAAAGAAAAUAG